rnacentral:lncRNA from 1 species
CCGGCUCAAAUCUGGUAUCAAGCUGUUACCCUAGCCUCAAGUGUGGUGGUUUUGGGUAAAUAACUCUAAAAAGGACCUUAUCCAUCCAUCCAAGGAAGCUUCUGAUGAUGCUAUACACUUUCCCAGAUUGACAUUAUUCUAUCCGAACUGCUUGACGAGGUCACUAUAAAACAUCAAUGUGCUUGGGCGACAAAAAAUGGCUGUGCUUCUCACUGUGCUCCGCAAUGUACCACAAAUUGUCAUCUGUUCGGAGCAACCUUAUCAGCUCAGGACAUUCACAUCGACAUGAUGAUGUCGUGUUCUCCACCCCCUCUUCCCCUGUCCAAAUCAACAAGACAGAAUUAAAACAUAACUCUGAUGUUGCACUUCACAAAAACAAUACAUUGAAUAACAUGCGGCGAUCUUGCUCGACAUUACUAACCGCGCAUCCACAAACUAUGUCCUGCAUACACGUCGUACUUUCAACAUUAAACCUGCUCUUCCCAUAUAUGUUACCAAAAACUUUCUCCCAAGAAUAAAGGUUCUAGAAAUCAUGCCUCGCCCAAAGAACCGAAACUUAUUCCUAGGGUAGGUAGGUAGUACGACACUCUCCAAUGGGUUAUCAGCCAAUUAUUGCUUUUUUUAGCUGUCACUUACUGCUUUCUCAAGAGCUGCCACCCUCGAUGGGCAUGGUGUCAUAGCAUGCCCAGCUCAAUAAUCACACAAUUGGUAAGAAGGAUUGAAAGAGCAGGUUCAUUAGCAAAAAUGCACAUUAGAAAAUCGUUUUACUUCUAGACAACAUGUCUACAAAUAAUGUGAGUUGGGCACACAUUCUUAUUUACGUACAUGCUUCUGCAAACCCACAUUUAAUGAAAUGGCAUUUGUUGUAAACACAUGGAUCAGCCUAUUUUUAGCUGUUGACCAACAGGAUACUGCAUAUUUCCUACUCCUGUGUUGUCUAAGUGCUAAAAUAGUACAGUGAGACAAUCCAAAGCAUUGAACCUGUGUUAUCCAAGUAAUAAUUAACUGUCUCAUGGUAAAAGUGUUUUUCUUAUGAAAAUGAUUUUGCAGAUCCGGUUAUAGUGAACCAACGUCUAUCGUGGACACAUGGAUCUGUACUGAUUAUCCUAUUUUUAGCUGCCGAUCAACAAGAUAAUGCAUAGUUCCUAAUUCUUUGCUAUCAAAGUGCUAAAAGUAGAACCAGUGGGAAUUUCUGGUGUUGUCAAAUUACUGAACUUGUGUUAUUAAAUUACUAAAUUCUCGUCUCACAGCAGCAGUAAUUUUCGUACAAUGAAAAAUUCAUACCCAGUGCCCUCUGAAGCUGUUAAACCAAAUUAACAACACAAUUGCCUGGUCACUCCUUCCGGGUCUUAUUAUAACCUAUGCGGGGUGGAUUUGCAAAGCUCAUUAAUCCAGUGCAUUAUUUAAGAAUAUCCUUACCAUGCAGUCUAUUCCAACAACAAGCUACGUUGCUUACAGCUCUGUUAAUCUUAGUAUGCAUCGAACUAACCUGUUAGCCCACAGCUUGUGGGUUCACCUUGCCCAUCCACAGAUCCGACCCCUGCGACGAGUUUUCCCGUCGGCCAUCCACACGUCCCACUUCCUCACAGGUCUGCGCCUCCGCACUCCUGGCUGCCGCCAGCGCCUGCUCAACAUCGCUUGCCGACGCCAUGUGUCCUUACGGUUCUCUCAGGUAUUCCAU